rnacentral:misc_RNA from 1 species
AAGGCCGCACUACCCCCUGUGCAACCGACCUCCGCCAAGAGAAAGGAGAAGGACUUACCCAAACUGCCAUCUGCUGAAGAUACCAGGCAGAUAUACCAGAACAUUGGCUCAGUGGGAUCAAAAUAAUCGUAGGAAUUGUGGGAUAUUGUAGUACAUAUACUGACACUGACCAGUGUGAUAAAGGGAGGAAUGAUUUCAGCCAUUCAUCAUCAAACAAAAAAGUGAAGAAGAAGAAAAAACUCCCAAGAUGAGUGAUUAUAUUUAAGGUGACUUUUGUCUACAAAAACUCCUCUUGACAUUGUUUCGGUGCAAGAGGUGUUCUUUCUUCAGAGAGAGAGAGAAAGAAAGAGCAGUAAUGGUGGAUAAAAAUUUCCUUUUUUCUUAAAUGGUGCACUGUGUAUCGGAGAUGUGAUUCAUACUGGAAUCCAGAAAAAUGACUCUGAGUGUAUGGAAAUGCGCAUCACAGGUUCAUUUUAAGGACUUGUAUUUUCACUAUGUGAGAUAAGGUGUAAUAUUACGCUCAUUUUACAAGAGAUUUAUUAUUUUGUUAUGGGAAGUUCAAUCAAAUGGAAGGGAAAGAUUUGUCUUGAUUUAAUAUCAAGAUUAAACCUGAGCAUAUAGCUAUGAAUUAUCUGUAUGAUUUAUGUUUUGAUUUUGUUUUAAAUGGCAAAAAUUAUUUGUUGUCAUUACACUCCUUUAACCCAAGCCCCCUCCCCCCACCCCAACCCACCCAUGCCCCCCACCUAAAUCUCUUAAUAUAUUCCCCCUUUACCAACUCUUAACCCACUUUCUAAACUGCCAAUGAGAAUUGGAGAUUUGAAGAUUUGUUAUGUGCAAGCAGGGCUCUGUGGAGUACAUAUUUUGAUAUGUCAUGUGUCUGAUGUUAAGAAAUUCCUUUGUCAAAAAUAUAUAGUCAUUUGUUUUAUGUUAUUUAUAUAUUGUUAUUAUACUGUUCAUAUACAUGUGUGCUAUCAAAGGGCAAGGCUAGUUUAUAUUUCAUUGAUGCACAUUUUAUAUGUCUACUAUUUCCAUUUGUGAUUGUCAUAAUUAUCUAUUUAUACCUCUUUUAAUAUUAUAAAUUAAGUUGUUUUUUUUUUACUAAUUGGUGCAUUCCAAAUUAAAUUUCUGAAAUUUAGUUCUACCACAAAAAAUUCAGUUUACUAUACAUGUAAUGUGUUUGUUUCUAACUUGUACAAAAUUCUAUUACAUUUUUUUUUAAUAGAUACAAAAAAAUACUUGUACUUCUUUUCCUUAAUCAAAAGUUUGAAUUUCCUGUCUCUAUUAUAUUGAUGUAAUUUGAUGUAUAACCAACAAUGCCCUUAUUGUUCAGAAAUAUGAAUACUACUGAAAUUAUAUAAUUCUUUUUACAUUGAAUUUAUAGAGAGUACAUUUCCUGUAUUGCUGAAUGCCUGUUACCUGUAACAUUUUAGAAUGUGAUUAGAAACAACUGGUUUAGGUUUCCAUAUUUUUUUUUUGCUUUAUUGGCUUGCCAUAUUGAAUCUUGGGAUGCAUUAUGCAGAAGUUUUAUAAUGGGAUUAUUUUACUUUUUUUGUCCAAGAACCGUUUUGAAUUUUUUUGACCAGAAGUUUCAUACACUAUGAUAAAAUUCAUGCUGUGCUUUACUUCACAACAUGUGCAUUAUUUAGAUUCGUUCGCAGACAUUGCAAAAAUUCAUGCUGCUGAUUCCAUUGGUAAUCGAUGUUUUAACUGAAUGAUAGAAUAUGAAUCUAAAUUAUACACCAUUGUAAAAUAAUUGUCUCAUAAACAGGGCAUGCUUGUAGCUCAUAUAAAUUUCUGUUUUAACUUGUAGCUUCAGUAUUCCUGAAAAUCUAGUUAAUUAGAAUAUUGUCUCAGUUGUGACUGUUAACAUGAUGUCAACACCUCAGUGAAAAAAAAUUAUAUAAAAGAAUUUAACCACAAAUAUCAAAAAAAAAAAAAGAAAGAAAGAGAAAUGCGAAACAUCAGUUGAAGUAAACGUCUUACCUCAUUUUGUAUAUCGUUGUCAAGUAUGAAUGAAAACGUAAAUUUUGAUGUUCACAAAAUUGUAUUUAUAUUAUUCAAAUUUUAGUUUUCAAUAUACAUUAAGUUUUCCCCCAGUUCCCUUCAAAUUUAUAUCUUUGUUUUAUUGCUAUGUUUAAAAAAUCCUGUAGAUUGACAUAUGUUGUGUUGACAGAACUGUUCUCAUGGCUGAUCAAAUGUUUCUAUUGUGAUUUGGAGUAUAUUUACUGUUUUAUUGCCAUCACUUUUGUCACAAGAUGAUCAUCAAUAAAUGUUACAGUAACAU